AGAUCGUACCCACAUUUACUUGGAUAACUGUGGUAAUUCUAGAGCUAAUACAUGCAAACUCGAGUUCCAACCAGAGAUGGAAGGAACGCUUUUAUUAGAUCAAAACCAAUCGGUGGCAAUUAGCUUUCUACUAAUUGUCCAUCGUUAAUUUUGGUGACUCUGAAUAACUUUGUGCUGAUCGCAUGGUCUUAGUGCUGGCGACAUAUCUUUCAAAUGUCUGCCUUAUCAACUGUCGAUGGUAGAUUCUAUGCCUACUAUGGUUGUUACGGGUAACGGGGCAAUCAGGGUUCGAUUCCGGAGAGGGAGCCUGAGAAACGGCUACCACAUCCAAGGAAGGCAGCAGGCGCGCAAAUUACCCACUCUCGGCACGAGGAGGUAGUGACAAAAAAUAACGAUACGGGACUCAUCCGAGGCCCCGUAAUCGGAAUGAGUACACUUUAAAUCCUUUAACGAGGAUCAAUUGGAGGGCAAGUCUGGUGCCAGCAGCCGCGGUAAUUCCAGCUCCAAUAGCGUAUAUUAAAGUUGUUGCGGUUAAAAAGCUCGUAGUUGAAUUUGUGUCUUCAUGUUGUUAGUUCAUCGCUCGCGGUGUUUAAUUAGCAUUACAUGAGACGUCCUAUCGGUGGAUUUAGCUUUGUGUUAAAGCAAAGCGAUCCAAUCAAUAUCCUGUCGCGGUGCUCUUUACUGAGUGUCGAGAUGGGCCGAUACGUUUACUUUGAACAAAUUAGAGUGCUUAAAGCAGGCUUUUUUUGCCUGAAUACUGUGUGCAUGGAAUAAUAGAAUAGGACCUCGUUUCUAUUUGGUUGGUUUUCGGAAUUCCGAGGUAAUGAUUAAUAGGGACAGAUGGGGGCAUUGGUAUUGCGACGUUAGAGGUGAAAUUCUUGGAUCGUCGCAAGACGAACAGAAGCGAAAGCAUUUGCCAAGGACGUUUUCAUUAAUCAAGAACGAAAGUUAGAGGUUCGAAGGCGAUCAGAUACCGCCCUAGUUCUAACCAUAAACGAUGCCAGCUAGCGAUCCGCCGAAGUUCCUCCGAUGACUCGGCGGGCAGCUUCCGGGAAACCAAAGCUUUUGGGUUCCGGGGGAAGUAUGGUUGCAAAGCUGAAACUUAAAGGAAUUGACGGAAGGGCACCACCAGGAGUGGAGCCUGCGGCUUAAUUUGACUCAACACGGGAAAUCUCACCAGGCCCGGACACCGGAAGGAUUGACAGAUUGAUAGCUCUUUCUUGAUUCGGUGGGUGGUGGUGCAUGGCCGUUCUUAGUUGGUGGAGCGAUUUGUCUGGUUAAUUCCGAUAACGAACGAGACUCUAGCCUGCUAAAUAGGCGUAUAUUCUGGUAUCUCGAAAGACUUUGAUAUUUUUCGGAAUAUAUAGUUUUACUACCGACGUACAAUAAAAUCUUCUUAGAGGACAGGCGACUUCCUAGUCGCACGAGAUUGAGCAAUAACAGGUCUGUGAUGCCCUUAGAUGUUCUGGGCCGCACGCGCGCUACACUGAAGGAAUCAACGUGUUUUUCUUUGGCCGAAGGGCCCGGGUAACCCGCUGAACCUCCUUCGUGCUAGGGAUUGGGGCUUGAAAUUAUUCCCCAUGAACGAGGAAUUCCCAGUAAGUGCGAGUCAUAAGCUCGCAUUGAUUACGUCCCUGCCCUUUGUACACACCGCCCGUCGGUACUACCGAUUGAAUGAUUUAGUGAGGUCUUCGGACUGGAACGCGGCAAUGUUUCGGCAUUGCCGAUGUUGUUAGGAAGAUGACCAAACUUGAUCAUUUAGAGGAAGUA
rnacentral:rRNA from 1 species